rnacentral:rRNA from 1 species
GAUCAUGGCUCAGGAUGAACGUUGGCGGCGUGCCUAACACAUGCAAGUCGAGCGAGAAAUCUUGGAAUGAGACUUCGGUUAAGUGAAGAGAUGGAAAGCGGCGGACGGGUGAGUAACGCGUAGGCAACCUGCCUUAUGCAGAGGGAUAGCCAUUGGAAACGAUGAUUAAAACCUCAUGAUGCCAUUUUAUCACAUGGUGAGAUGGUCAAAGAUUUAUCGGCAUAAGA